rnacentral:rRNA from 1 species
CGGGUAACGGGGAAUUAGGGUUCGAUUCCGGAGAGGGAGCCUGAGAAAUGGCUACCACUUCUACGGAAGGCAGCAGGCGCGCAAAUUACUCAAUCCCAAUACGGGGAAGUAGUGACAAUAAAUAUCAAUGCCUAUCCUUAUGGAGGGCAAUUGAAAUGAACACAAAUUAAAACUCUUAAUUAACACAAUUGGAGGGCAAGUCUGGUGCCAGCAGCCGCGGUAAUUCCAGCUCCAAUAGCAUAUACUAAAGUUGUUGCAGUUAAAAAGCUCGUAGUUGAAGUCAAAGGUUUGUCGGGUCAAAGUUGUUUCUCCGCUCUGGUGGUAAACAUACUCCGGCAUCUCUUUUUUUAAUAGUUCUGCUUGUGCUAUCUUUGAUGGUACUUGUUUGAACAGUUCACCGUGAGAAAAUUGUGGUGUUCAAAGCAGGCGUUUCGCCUGAUCUUUUGCAGCAUGGUAUGAUGAAACAUGACAUUUUACGCUAUUGGUUUGCGUCUAGAGUGUAAUGAUUAAUAGGGAUGGAUGGGGGUGU